GCAAACUUGGUCAUUUAGAGGAAGUAAAAGUCGUAACAAGGUCUCCGUUGGUGAACCAGCGGAGGGAUCAUUACCGAGUUUACAACUCCCAAACCCCUGUGAACAUACCACUUGUUGCCUCGGCGGAUCACCGCGCCCCGUGAAACGGGCCGGCCCGCCAGAGGACCCAAACUCAAAUGUCUUAUUGUAUCUUCUGAGUUAAAAAAAAAACAAAUAAAUCAAAACUUUCAACAACGGAUCUCUUGGUUCUGGCAUCGAUGAAGAACGCAGC
rnacentral:misc_RNA from 1 species